rnacentral:rRNA from 1 species
AAAUGAAUAGACGGGAGCUUCUUCCAAGCGGUGGAGCAUGUGUUUUAAUCCGAUAACCCACGGAUAACCUUACCAACUUUUGACUGCAGUUAUCAACUUGCCGGUAACGGAAGUUUGGGUCUGCACAGGUGCUGCAUGGCUGUCGUCAGUUCGUAAUUGUGAAAUCGUUAAUUAAAUUUAAGUAACGGACGCAAUCCCUUCGAUCAAACGUCAUUAAUUGUGAUUUUGGUCGAAAUACAGCUGGAACAGCGGGUGGAAGCAAGGGACCACGUCAAGUCAUUAUGGCCUUUAUAAGUUGGGCUAGGCAUGUGCUACAAUGGGGGAGACAAUGAGAGGCAAAGGCAGCAACCGGAGCAAAUCUUUAAAGACCCCCUAAGUUCGGAUUGUUCUCUGAAAUUCGAGAGCAUGAAGUCGGAAUCGCUAGUAAUCGCAGAUCAGCAUGCUGCGGUGAAUUUGUUCUACAGCUUUGUACACACCGCCCGU